rnacentral:rRNA from 1 species
GUAGGUGGCAAGCGUUGUCCGGAACUAUUGGGCGUAAAGCGCGCGCAGGUGGUUCUUUAAGUCUGAUGUGAAAGCCCCCGGGCUCAACCGGGGAGGGUCAUUGGAAACUGGGGAACUUGAGUGCAGGAGAGGAAAGUGGAAUUCCACGUGUAGCGGUGAAAUGCGUAGAUAUGUGGAGGAACACCAGUGGCGAAGGCGACUUUCUGGCCUGUAACUGACACUGAGGCGCGAAAGCGUGGGGAGCAAACAGGAUUAGAUACCCUGGUAGUCCACGCCGUAAACGAUGAGUGCUAAGUGUUGGGGGGUUUCCGCCCCUCAGUGCUGCAGCUAACGCAUUAAGCACUCCGCCUGGGGAGUACGGUCGCAAAGACUG